rnacentral:lncRNA from 1 species
AGAACAACUUACCUCUUGUCAGUCACCUGCUUUUCUUUACUUGUCAUACUUUUAGCAUUUACAAAGUUUUAAAAAUGUGUUUAUCAUUUGGUAAUUAUUUUUAAACUUUAUUUGAAAAUAUAGACUGAGUUCUGAACAAAUUAUCCUUAAAUUUCUUCCUCUAGUAGUUACACUUUUCAGUAUCAGUGAAGUUUUAUGACGCCUCUAUUUUUCCUACCCACACAGCAUCUCAAGUUUGUCUUUACAGAAUAACUGGAAGUCCUAGCUUUAUCCUCUCUCUGCGUUUCUCUCUCACAGCCCCCUCCUCUUGGACUCUGCUCUUCCUCUCAGCACCGUAACCUUUUUAAUUUCCAGAUAGGUUUUGAAAACACCAUCUGUUCCCCUCUUAGGAUCCCUGGGGCAGAUGAUAGGUGAACCCCACAUCCCAGACACAUGGCCACCAAAGAUAUUCUUGCUUUUUUAAUGUUUAUCAAGUUCCUCCGCAGACAACAGAAAGUAAGUUUUAUUUAGGUAUUUAUGAAAGGUAACACGCAUCUUUAAAAAUAUGAUCAUGAUACAUUUCGAAUGAGAACUGUGUGUAAAACAUACAGGUCCUAUUGUUUCCCUCGUCGUUUUGUCUUUUCUUCAGCCAGAAAGUGAUCCGCUGCCAGCGACAGGGAGACACACAACUGGUCCUUAUUCUAAAGACCCGACCCAGCCUGGAAUGGGGCCCGGCGAGGAGUUCUUGCGCCGGCCGCGGGGACUGGGCGGUAAUGAGCCGCUAGUCUCGGAAGGUGGUGCUGUUGGGUGUGAGGGGAGAUCCGGCUUGCGCUGAAACAGCGAGCGGCGUGCAAGGAGGAAGCCGCGAUUUCCAAGGCGGAUUCCCUUCGCUGGGACACAACUCUUGAGAAUAAGACUUAUAAGGACUCUGAGAGUUUGAGGCAGAGGCAGAACGGCUCUGGGCUGAGUGAUGGGGAGGAUACCAGCACUCAGCGCGGGUGGCGGGCGCGGGGCCGAGCGCGCGCAUCCAGGGACGCCUUGGGGACGGGACGCGGAGAAAAGUUGCCGGGCGGAGAGAAAGGGUGGCGCUGGAAACCAAAUGGCUUUCAUCCC